ensembl:lncRNA
UGACAAAAAUCAAGUGAAAUACAUUUGAUUUGUACAAACAAAGUGAAAACUAGCAAAACUGCAAGAGGAAAGACAUCUAGACAAGAAAGCCUUUCAGAGAGCCUAAGGCUGGUAGUGACAUCUAGAAGAAAACAUCCUGCAUUUGUUGCAGCAAUGUGCUGCUUUUAAAGCAUCACCAGGGGACAGUUUAGAGUGGUCUAGGACAAUGGGUGAAAGAGAAGCAUUUGAGAAUUUGAGGUCAGAACCGCACUAUCCUUCACAGGAUACUACUGAAUUAUUUUGGGAUAAAUGUUACACUUUAAGCUCAAGGAUCAUGCUUAAGCGGGAUGGUUAGCUGCUGUCCAGCCAGUGACAGUCACAAUCUCCAGAGCAACAGUGACUCCAGCUGGAUUGAUUGAAAGUCCCUGAAGCACUUUUCAUUGGAUCCUUACACCCAAAUGGCUCACGGUUCUAUAUGAUCAGUUCUACAUCUGCAAGAACGCUACCCACUGAAUAUUUACAAGUGUGGUUUCCAUGUACAAUUUCAUCAGUUCUAAGGCUGGAAAUGUCUGGAGGAGUUUCUUUAAUGAUCAAGGUCUCCACUCAGGAUAUUAAUACAUUUAAACGUGCAGAUAGGCACUAUCUAAUAGUGUCUAUGGACUAGGUACAACAUACCCUGUCUAUCCCUUCUGAAGAGCCCAUGUGUAUGACAGUUGUGAGAUUCAUCCCACCAUGUUUCCUGAUAGCAACCAGAUCAAAAUUUUCCAAGCACAUCAUGGUUUUCAACUCCUCCUGCUUAUCUUCCAUGCUGUGUAUUAGUGUAAAGGCUUUGAUCUAGGACUUAAACUGAUCUUUUUACCUAGACAGCUUGCAAAAAUAUUACUUUGUUUAUCUUCCUACAUGAUAUCUUCUAUGCUCUUUUGUACUAGUAGAUGAAUAAAGUUGGUAUAUAUGCUGAAGUCCUAAUACUCUGCUUUAGGUAUGGUAAAACAAAAUCAGACAUCAUUUGCUAUCCCAAUUCUGAGGACCACUCUGAAAAUAAUUCCUCCUAUUUUAUUAUGUUGGCCCACAACUUCAGAAACAGAUAUUGGUGCCUUGCAGUCAGAUCUUCCCACCAGUACCCCAUCUUGUUUCCAUGCAACAGAUGACAGCAGAGGAGCAGUCUGACAAAAUGGCAUCUGACAUGGAAGUGUAUAUGAAGCAAAGGUGUGUCAUUAAAUUCCUGCAUGAGGAAAAAAUGGCACUCACUGACAUUCACUGAUAGUUUACUGAACAUUUUUCAAGACCAUACAGUGGAUGUGAGGAUGGUGAAGUGGUGAGUGGUACAAUUCAGCAAUGAUGCCAUCAUAGCAGCUGUGAAGCAGUGGGUCACCUCCACUGGUGCAGAUUUUUACAACCACAUCAUGCAGACUCUUGCUUUCCACUGUCUAAAAUAAGACAGUGGAAAGCAAGUGGUGACUAUGUUGCAAAUGAGUGCUUUGAAUACAAGUGUUUUGUAGCUGAGAUUUCCUCUAUCAAAUAGCAUUAUUGUGCCCUUUGUUGCAGUUUCUAUGGAAAUUAAUAGGAAGCAUUACUUUCAGAGCUACCUACGUACAACCAUUUCAGAUGUAAUUCUUUUGAAUUGCAAGUCUACCUGUUCAAGACUACCCUAUCGCUCAAGUAAAAAAAAAAAAAAAAAAAGAAAUACCUGAGCAAAACAAAUUGGAUUUGGUCUGUGGUUUCUGAAGCAUCACAUGGAGGGAAAUUUUCUUGUACUUACUUUUAUUUAUUUAGUUAUUUUAAAUUAAUGACUUAACAUCUAUGAGUCUUGAUCAGAACUCUUCAGCCUCCAGCUGAAUGAAAUUGUUGUUCCUUGCUUAGAAUAACCUGUUGCUUAAGACAAAGCACAAGCUGGCCUCCUUCUUAUUGUAAUUAACUUCAUUUUAUAUUAAUCAAGCAUGGCUGUUUCUUCUGAUAGUAUAUAAUAAAGGGAUAUAGUCAGUUUUUUAAUUGUAUUGCUGUUUUGCUUUGAUAUAUUUCAAAUACAAAUAACACAAAACAUACUUAUAAAUUAAUGUUAUUUGGUAAUAUUGGAACCAUUUCCAAGUAUAGAAACAUAAGUAAUGAAAUUACCUUAAUUCUAAUGCAGACCAAUAAAACAGAAAGUAAUCUUAUUAUGAAUUACAUACAGUGUUUUAGGAUGAGCAAAGAUUACUAUUUUGGAAGAUUGUAUUAUAUUUUUUGAGCUAACCUCUGCAUUUUCUCAGCAAGAACUUAUUUGGUGUAAAAGACACAGUUUAAAAAUAGUGUGUUAUGAAACAGUCAUUUUUUCUUGCCCUUGCACAUCUCUAAUUGACUAACUACUUUAACCUCACCUUCUAAAUGUGGGAAGGCUACUGAGAAAAUGAAAAUGAUUUUCCCAAAAUCUAAAUUGAGAGGAAGAUGACU